rnacentral:tRNA from 1 species
ACAGUUGCUCAACUGGGCUAGAGCAUGGCGCCAAAAGGCGCCAGGGUCAACGGUUCGAAUCCGUUACCUGUG